AAGCACCCACCUCACCGGCACCUCCCACCGUCACCACACGCGCGCCCCUUGCCCGCCGACCCCAGCCGGUUGCAGGGGGCUGGGGCCGGUGCCGCCGCAACCCCGUUACCCCGCGCGUGGCGGCGGGGGGCAGGGAAGGGAAGGCAGGGCGCUUAUGCGAGGCGCGGGGAGGGGGGGGGGAAGACUGCAGAAAAGAUCAGCACGGCUUCUGAACAACCCUGCACAUCCGUGAAGAAAUGCUGCUUGAUGAAGCUCCAAGAAAUGACCUUGCAGCAGGGGCAAGCCUCUCCAGCCUGCGAGAACAGUGCUGCCGUGACUCCGUAAUGUUCCAAGGGUGGCAGCCACAAAGAGCAGUUUGUCGAUGCUGUUUGCAAUGUACCACUGACUAGGUGGCUGAACCGGCGUCUCUGCAGUGCUGUAUGUUUAAUCCUCAGUAGAUGGCACUCAUCGUGCUGCUCUGCAAGUGCAGGUCCAUUUUAUACACAGAUCAUGGUUUUGGCAGGCAUUCUCAUAACAUGUCACAGAAAUAAAAGGCACCAAACAGGCAUGGUCAGUGCUGCCCAGGCCCAGAGAGGAGCUCACUCAGCCCCGUGAACUGGCUGAAAGCACGGAAGCACAAGCAGGAUACAGGGGGUUAUCAGCUCAGUUAAACCCAAGGGCACCAGAAAAACUACCCUGCUGGUAUGCCCACAUCAAUUAGUGCUUUUAAUGUUAGUUUCUUAAAAUCCACAGAAAGAAUGCAGCAGCCCCCUGCUGCCAGUUGGCAGCUCCUCUUGUGGUUUUGAAACAGCAGCCCUUGAAACAGCAGCCAGUGAAAGAUCAGUUUAAAGCUUCACUUCUGCUGUGUGCCUCUCACCUGGUAUUGAUCUGCUUCUGGCACAGUGCAUGGCCAGUGAGCCACAGCCCCAGUGCAAAGUAGUGCUUUGGUAAGUGUGUUGUGUGGGGUUACGCAACAGACAAGGAGAACAAAUACGGAAGCUCCAUUGCCUUAGCCAAAGGAGCUAGUCCUGGAGAUUAGAGAAAAGAUCAUCUGGACCAAGCUUACAUCCCCUGAGAGCUCUGGUUAGGGUCUGUCAUGGAGAAGAAUACCUUCUGUGGGUUCAAUAUGAUUUUGCUUGAUCCUUAACUUCUUUUUGCCCAGCGUGGGGUUUCCCUGCCUGUUACAAGGCAUACCUGACAGUUGUCUACUUCAGCCUUUUAUCCUCCUUAGAGGAGAGCACCCAGAAUUCUCUUUCAUUGUGGAUGUGUCUUGGGCACAGAUCUGAGGUAACCUGGAGCAUCAUCUAAGUGGCAUGGUAAGCGCUGAAUCCCAGGCUGUGAUCCUCUGAACAUGGCACAGCUAGCACUCAUCCCUUAACAUCACCUCCAUUUGGUGGGUAGCACCUCUGCACCUUGGCUCACACCCAGCUGCAACUGGGAACCACGAGGUAGAUGUUUCUUCCCAGUCUUUCUUGAGCUUAUCUACUUCCAAGAGCAGGAUCAGUGCAGAAAGUAGCAGCUUGAAAAUGCCACUGGAAGAGGACAUGUUUUCUUACCUGUUGAGCAAUAGUUCAAUCAUUAUAGCACACACCUAGCAGUGGUGGUUAUCAAGGUAUGGUCCCUCCUUUGUCUUCAGGGCUAUGAAAUCCUAUCUUAUGGGAGACUGCCCCAAACACCGGUUUAGUACCUACCUCAAGAGCAAGGGGAUUACACAUUCACCCAUUGAAUUUGUCUCACUUGGUGCAAGAUGAAUUCAGGGUUCACUGGGCUAGGGAACGGGUGUGACAUGUCUCACCUUCAUGGUCAUUUUCCUGUAUAGGAGGAGAUGUCUGUCUUGAUCCCAGUCCCUGAGUGUGUUUAUAUAUUAUCCAGUGCCCGAUUCAUGUGAAAUAUCUAGAUGGGUGCUACUGAAGUUGCUGAAACACUGAUCUCUGCUUUCCAAGAUAAACACUUAGCUGGAGAACAGUCUUCCUUCCCUCUGGGCCACUUUAACUGCUGAGUACUUCUGUGUCACAGCAAGAGAGAAGUGCGCUGCUUUGGUACACAGAGCACACAAUUGAGAUACGUUCCUCUACAGGGAGCUGUAGUAGGAUUUUCAGUGCUCUGAAGCCUAGACUUGAAAUGUGGGUGGGCAAGGGAAAACAAGUGCUUUUGUGGUUUGUUUUUUCAAAAAACAUUUUUGUGGUUUCAAUAAAGUUGAGUUCUGUUGUUUCAGUUAA